rnacentral:rRNA from 1 species
GACGAACGCUGGCGGCGUGCCUAAUACAUGCAAGUAGAACGCUGAAGAGAGGAGCUUGCUCUUCUUGGAUGAGUUGCGAACGGGUGAGUAACGCGUAGGUAACCUGCCUUGUAGCGGGGGAUAACUAUUGGAAACGAUAGCUAAUACCGCAUAACAAUGGAUGACACAUGUCAUUUAUUUGAAAGGGGCAAUUGCUCCACUACAAGAUGGACCUGCGUUGUAUUAGCUAGUAGGUGAGGUAAUGGCUCACCUAGGCGACGAUACAUAGCCGACCUGAGAGGGUGAUCGGCCACACUGGGACUGAGACACGGCCCAGACUCCUACGGGAGGCAGCAGUAGGGAAUCUUCGGCAAUGGGGGCAACCCUGACCGAGCAACGCCGCGUGGGUGAAGAAGGUUUUCGGAUCGUAAAGCUCUGUUGUAAGUCAAGAACGGGUGUGAGAGUGGAAAGUUCACACUGUGACGGUAGCUUACCAGAAAGGGACGGCUAACUACGUGCCAGCAGCCGCGGUAAUACGUAGGUCCCGAGCGUUGUCCGGAUUUAUUGGGCGUAAAGCGAGCGCAGGCGGUUUGAUAAGUCUGAAGUUAAAGGCUGUGGCUCAACCAUAGUUCGCUUUGGAAACUGUCAAACUUGAGAGCAGAAGGGGAGAGUGGAAUUCCAUGUGUAGCGGUGAAAUGCGUAGAUAUAUGGAGGAACACCGGUGGCGAAAGCGGCUCUCUGGUCUGUAACUGACGCUGAGGGCCCGAAAGCGUGGGGAGCGAACAGGAUUAGAUACCCUGGUAGUCCACGCCGUAAACGAUGAGUGCUAGGUGUUGGAUCCUUUCCGGGAUUCAGUGCCGCAGCUAACGCAUUAAGCACUCCGCCUGGGGAGUACGACCGCAAGGUUGAAACUCAAAGGAAUUGACGGGGGCCCGCACAAGCGGUGGAGCAUGUGGUUUAAUUCGAAGCAACGCGAAGAACCUUACCAGGCCUUGACAUCCCGAUGCUAUUUCUAGAGAUAGAAAGUUACUUCGGUACAUCGGUGACAGGUGGUGCAUGGUUGUCGUCAGCUCGUGUCGUGAGAUGUUGGGUUAAGUCCCGCAACGAGCGCAACCCCUAUUGUUAGUUGCCAUCAUUCAGUUGGGCACUCUAGCGAGACUGCCGGUAAUAAACCGGAGGAAGGUGGGGAUGACGUCAAAUCAUCAUGCCCCUUAUGACCUGGGCUACACACGUGCUACAAUGGUUGGUACAACGAGUUGCGAGUCGGUGACGGCGAGCUAAUCUCUUAAAGCCAAUCUCAGUUCGGAUUGUAGGCUGCAACUCGCCUACAUGAAGUCGGAAUCGCUAGUAAUCGCGGAUCAGCACGCCGCGGUGAAUAAGUUCCCGGGCCU